UUCCUCAGUGGCCACCCCUCCAUGAGACUUGAGAAAAAAAAGUAGGCAGAUCAGAGAACUAAAUUUAAAGUCUCAUCAGGACCCUGGACCCACUUCUGGAGCCAAUGAUGGUAUCCACUAAGGAUUUGGAUGGCCACUUGGAUGACCGUGAAUGCCUGACUCUUCUCUCUGCAACACCCAAGCGCUAGAAUUACAGGCAAGCAAGCAACCACCACAUCCUGCUUCAACAGAUUUAUGUGUAGAGAUGACUGAGUUGAUAAAAAUGUGUAACUCACAAGCCUGAACCUAAACAGAGAUCACUGGAGUCCUGCUGAAAGCCCGGCGACGAUAUAGCACGCAUCUGCAAUCUUAGUGCUUCUACCAUGAGAUGUGAGGCAAAACAGAGUUGCACCCCCCCCCC